AUCCAGAUGACGAGUCCGAAAUAGGACGAAACGCGUGUCCUGGAU
rnacentral:hammerhead_ribozyme from 1 species